CCUACGGGAGGCAGCAGUGAGGAAUAUUGGUCAAUGGGCGCGAGCCUGAACCAGCCAAGUCGCGUGCGGGAAGACGGUCCUAUGGAUUGUAAACCUCUUUUGUCGGGGAGCAAAAGACGCCACGCGUGGCGUUCCGAGAGUACCCGAAGAAAAAGCAUCGGCUAACUCCGUGCCAGCAGCCGCGGUACUACGGAGGAUGCGAGCGUUAUCCAGAUUUAUUGGGUUUAAAGGGUGCGCAGGAGGAAGAUCAAGCCAGCGGUAAAAUGGAGGGGGUCAACCUGUUCGAGCCGUUGAAACUGGUUGUCUUGAGUGAGUGAGAAGUAUGCGGAAUGCGUGGUGUAGCGGUGAAAUGCAUAGAUAUGACGCAGAACUCCGAUUGCGAAGGCAGCAUACCGGCGCUCAACUGACGCUCAUGCACGAAAGUGUGGGUAUCGAACAGGAUUAGAUACCCCUGUAGUC
rnacentral:rRNA from 1 species